ensembl:lncRNA
CGUUAUUAUUGUGGUAACGAGCACGGUAACUAGUUAUUAUGCCAAAACCAGGAACGCGUUACUCGUUACUGGGAUUUAGAUAGGCUCGUUACUCGUUACUUCGUGUGGUGGAUAUCGCGGCGCUUCCACAGAUUCAGUAACAUUAGCAAGUGGUGGAGGCCAGCAGGUGGAUGAAGGAAAAGGGAGGCAAAAGGAGAGACCCGAAGCGGCCGCCGGUCCGCGUGUCAGGUGAACUGAACUUCAGGCUCCUACAACUCUCAAAGUAAAACCUGCGCUGACCCAGAGCUGUGGAAACCAAUCACCCACAGCUAUGAUGCUAAUGGUCUUCAUGGGGCAAUGGUACUGUGCACAAUGCAGUCAUAAGGGAUUAGAGCAGCUCUCUGCACAUGGACCUAUCACUCAUGGCUGUGGAGGAGAGGAAGUCACUGAACAAACUGUUAUUCAUCACCGAUAAUCCCGACCACCCUCUGCACCUCUUCCUGGACAGGCAGCACAACACUUUCUCUGACAGACUGAUUCAGGAAAUCUUUCAUACCACAAUCUAACAACCGCUAUGAUACAACACUCUAUCAUUCUGCCAGGGGAUCAUCUACCAGAUGUUAUGAAUACCUAUAUGUAUUAAACUUUUUACCAAAUAUGAGAUAAAUAAAGAAUUACGGGAGUCUUAGCUCUUGGAUGUCCACUCUAGUGAUGAGUGUUAGUUUCAUUUGAUCUUGUGUUUUGGUUCUUGCCUAUUAUUACUGGUAUUUCUAUUAGUUUUGCUAUUGUUUAUGCUUUGUGUUACCUAGUUAAAGGUUAGUAUUCAUAUCUGUUUUUAUGUCUUUUGGUUCUUUCCUGUUUUACUGUUUUAGUUUCCCGUUCUGUGUUACUUCCUAUGUGCCCUGCCUUGAUUCGCCGAUUAUUUCCACCAGUUGUUGGAUCCGUUCACCCAUGCCUCAUUUCCCUGCUGUAAAAUUAUCCCUUUUGUGUGUUUAGCCCUUUCUCACCUUUGCCCUUUGUUGUGUUGUCCAC